AGAGCGAACGCUGGCGGCAGGCCUAAUACAUGCAAGUCGAACGGCUCUUCGGAGCAGUGGCGGACGGGUGAGUAACGCGUGGGAAUGUGCCCUUUGGUACGGAACAACUGGGGGAAACUUCAGCUAAUACCGUAUGUGCCCUUCGGGGGAAAGAUUUAUUGCCAUUGGAGCAGCCCGCGUUGGAUUAGCUAGUUGGUGGGGUAAAGGCCCACCAAGGCGACGAUCCAUAGCUGGUCUGAGAGGAUGAUCAGCCACACUGGGACUGAGACACGGCCCAGACUCCUACGGGAGGCAGCAGUAGGGAAUCUUGCGCAAUGGGCGAAAGCCUGACGCAGCCAUGCCGCGUGAAUGAUGAAGGUCUUAGGAUUGUAAAAUUCUUUCACCGGGGAAGAUAAUGACGGUACCCGGAGAAGAAGCCCCGGCUAACUUCGUGCCAGCAGCCGC
rnacentral:rRNA from 1 species